UACGAAGGGGGGCUAGCGUUGCUCGGAAUUACUGGGCGUAAAGGGCGCGUAGGCGGAUAGUUUAGUCAGAGGUAAAAGCCCAGGGCUCAACCUUGGAACUGCCUUUGAUACUGGCUAUCUUGAGUACGGGAGAGGUGUGUGGAACUCCGAGUGUAGAGGUGAAAUUCGUAGAUAUUCGGAAGAACACCAGUGGCGAAGGCGACACACUGGCCCGUUACUGACGCUGAGGCGCGAAAGCGUGGGGAGCAAACAGG
rnacentral:rRNA from 1 species